rnacentral:rRNA from 1 species
UUAAAAUGAGAGUUUGAUCCUGGCUCAGGAUGAACGCUGGCGGCGUGCUUAACACAUGCAAGUCGAACGG